AACGAACGCUGGCGGCAGGCCUAACACAUGCAAGUCGAACGAGACCUUCGGGUCUAGUGGCGCACGGGUGCGUAACGCGUGGGAAUCUACCCUUAGGUGCGGAAUAACUCAGAGAAAUUUGAGCUAAUACCGCAUAAUGACUCCGGUCCAAAGAUUUAUCGCCUAAGGAUGAGCCCGCGUAAGAUUAGCUAGUUGGUGAGGUAAAAGCUCACCAAGGCGACGAUCUUUAGCUGGUCUGAGAGGACGACCAGCCACACUGGGACUGAGACACGGCCCAG
rnacentral:rRNA from 1 species